GACGAACGCUGGCGGCGUGCUUAACACAUGCAAGUCGAACGGAAAGGCCCUGCUUGCAGGGUACUCGAGUGGCGAACGGGUGAGUAACACGUGGGUGAUCUGCCCUGCACUUCGGGAUAAGCUUGGGAAACUGGGUCUAAUACCGGAUAGGACCGCACUUUAGUGUGUGUGGUGGAAAGUUUUUUCGGUGUAGGAUGAGCUCGCGGCCUAUCAGCUUGUUGGUGGGGUAAUGGCCUACCAAGGCGGCGACGGGUAGCCGGCCUGAGAGGGUGUACGGCCACAUUGGGACCGAGAUACGGGCCAGACUCCUACGGGAGGCAGCAGUGGGGAAUAUUGGACAAAGGGAGCAAGCCUGAUGCAGCGACGCCGCGUGGGGGAUGAAGGCCUUCGGGUUGUAAACUCCUUUCGCUAGGGACGAAGCUUUGUUGUGACGGUACCUAGAUAAGAAGCACCGGCUAACUACGUG
rnacentral:rRNA from 1 species